UCGUAUUAUCGUCAUCCCGCGUGAAACGAAACCGUAUUAAAUAAGCUUUAUCAAGCCGCAAAAGGAAAAAAAGCACGCCUUUUGUACGAACAGAUUCGAGGUGAAAAUUUGGUAUUCAAUACUGAAUUUUCCUUCCCUGUAUACCUAUCAGAAGCGGACCAUAAAGCAGAAUCCGACUGUACAUUUCAUUAAUUUGAACAACGCUCAUAGUCCACAGCUGUGGAAUCGUUUAUCUUUUCACUUCAACAUUAAUCACUACAACGCGGACAAUGCCUUUAAAAUUCGCCACCUCAUGUAACGUACCAAAACUCUUACCGCCCUCGCCUUCAAUUUGCAUGCCGAAAUUGACCACCGCCGAAAUCGUAUAUGUGAUACGAAAUGUCUUCGCUUGCUCCAUCAUGUGGAUUAAGAAGCUCCCGACAAGAUUUGGAUCCACGCCCACCGCACCGGUGAGAAAUGGCUUUACGACUCAUACCAGCAAUAGACCAUAAUAAAUGAACACAUCUAAACCA